GCUAAAUAGUCAGUCUGGCUUCGGCCGGUCGCCGGCUUCUUAGAGGGACUGUCAGCGUUUAGCUGACGGAAGUUUGAGGCAAUAACAGGUCUGUGAUGCCCUUAGAUGUUUUGGGCCGCACGCGCGCUACACUGACAGAGCCAGCGAGCACAUUUCCUUGGCCGAAAGGUCCCGGGUAAUCUUGUGAAACUCUGUCGUGCUGGGGAUAGAGCAUUGCAAUUAUUGCUCUUCAACGAGGAAUUCCUAGUAAGCGCGAAGUCAUCAGCCUCGCCGUUUGAUU
rnacentral:rRNA from 1 species